UUUCACUCUUUGGAAUUUAGAGAGUACAUCUCCGGAGUGGUCAGAUUUGGAACGCUAGACGUGACAGAGUCGGAGCUCGCACUUUGCUUUGGUUACCUGUUAACAGCGAUCCUAUCCUCGGACGGACAAGAAUUUUGGGACCAAAAGGUGUGUGGGGUGGAGUGGAGAGAAAUGGUGGUGAUUUCUACAGUAGUGAUGACCGUCAUUAAGUUGGUCAACCAUGCCGUAUUCAUCUGAAGACCAGGAAACAAAUUGACAGUAGCGAUCGCUUACGUGACUAAGUCACCGAUGAUUCUUCCAGACACCAUUCUGAUUGGGCCAAUGGCGAUGCUAGCCAAUCAACACCUGUCUAAUCCCCUGCCAAGUCACCUCUUACUGUGGUCCGUUAUGGUAUACAGCGCACUUGAUCUGCUCCGCUACGUUACGGUUGUGAGCCUUGUGACGUUCUUCACCUGACAUGUUUCGGACCGUACCCAGUGAAAAAGCAAACAAACGGUAAAAGCAUCGGUGUCAGCGGUUGGAUGCAGAACGGUAGGAGCGAUGUUCACUAAAUCGAUGUGAGGAAUAGUAGCAGCAAUUUAAGUCCUGUUGGAUGAGUGCUGAUAGUAAUAAUAGCAGCGAUAAUUGUGAUAUGGUGACAAGGCGGGAAAAGGAGUAGUAGUAUUUACACUGGUGGCAGUGGUGGUAUUGAUGGCUGCCAAUGGUAUUUUUGAGUAUCUAUGCAAACAACAGCAAUACUGAUACAGAUGGCAGCGGUGGGAUAUGAGUAAUAUUAGUAAUUACUGAUAUUAGUAAUUACUGAUAUAUUACUGAGAUAUUACUGAGUUUUAGUGCUGUAGUGGAAUCUCUUAAACUUAUCUUUUAAUGUCCUGGUGGAAUCUUAACUUUUGGACCAUUUCACUUUGUUAUGGACGGAUUUUGAAGUUAUUGAUCUUUGCAACUAUGUUUUUAUUUAGGGUUCAUGCAAUAUUAUUCUCUUAAGAACAUAUUUUGUAAUACUUUCUACUCCUCUUAAUUUUGUAACCUAUUUGUCAUCCCUUUUUGGUUAAUCGUAUUGAAAAAGUGCACUUCUUCAGACGUUUACUAUUUUCCGUGAAUUUCUUGACAACUAAGGGCGCUGCUUCUGUGAUGUCAUUUCAGGAAGGCACUCAGAUUUAUAAUUCGCAUUAUACAGUCCUUUAGUGAUCGUCAAAAACCCGGGUCCCUCCUACCCUCUCACACGCAAUGUGUCCCAAGUCUCAUCAUUUAG